GGCAGAUAUCGGGCUUUGUUCGCUCAAAUCUAAACACAAACCAUUUCCGUAUUUGUGCAUUGAGGUGGUUUGUUUAUCUGGUUUCAGGAUAUACAGACCUCAGGAUCUAAUAGUCGUGUAGCCUACAAGGUUGAGCUGUUGGCUUUCGAAUUUUCAAUUGAAUACUACAAGCAUUGUUGUGAAGACAGGAAGAUGUGCUGAUUAAUAAUCGACGCGUGCAGUGCCAUCUGUCGAUGGAUGCGAUGCGUCGAUAACAAGGAAGAGGAAAAGAAUGCUCCACGAUCUUGCUCACUUUCGAGGCAACAAGUUUCAAGUGUCGCCCAGAAACAGCAAAGCAAUGAAUAUUAUGGAGCAGGAUACAAUCCUCCUCCUCCCUACACAGAGAAGGAAUCAAAUAGCUGAUAGUAGAAAACUGAUUCAUUUGUGUUACUGUACUGCAUUAAACUAAUUUUGUUUUAAAUUACUUUCACAGGUUUCGAUAAUUUUCAAAAAUUCUUCAAAAUGGUUUGCAAAGAAUUUCUUGCAAUGACUUAAUCUAAAAUUUUGCAAUUGAAUCUAUAGUAUUUUCGAACGAUAAAUUGUUUCAAGAAAAAUAACUUGUUUAAUUAUUCUUGCAUAAUUCAUAUAUGAAUUUUCAGUGCAUUUAUUAUUUCUUCUUUCACGUCAGUUAUUUGAAUAAACAACUAGACUUAUAUCAUCUAUUUUCACGUCUGUUUUAGAUACAUACUAAUAUGCAUCCUUUUUUACUCUUCAAUUAUGCAGUACAGUGAUACCUUCAUGAUCUCUAUAUACUUUAUAUACGAACAGUUGUCAACGAAUUUUGUAAUAUGAAUUGUGCUAGAACUACAGUUAAUGAUGGGCUUAUUGUCAAAUUGCUAAGCUGCAGAGCGAUGUGCCUUGAUAUGAAUGUCGUUCAUGAUCUCAUAUUACUCUUUUGUUGGCAGCUGUCUAUUUUUAUAGCUCUCUUGUUUUGGUGUAAAUACAAUCGAGUCUUGUGGACACUGAAAUUGACCUAUAUUU